GUCACGGCUAACUACGUGCCAGCAGCCGCGGUAAUACGUAGGUGGCAAGCGUUAUCCGGAUUUUAUUGGGCGUAAAGAGAGUGCAGGCGGUUUUUCUAAGUCUGAUGUGAAAGCCUUCGGCUUAACCGGAGAAGUGCAUCGGAAACUGGAUAACUUGAGUGCAGAAGAGGGUAGUGGAACUCCAUGUGUAGCGGUGGAAUGCGUAGAUAUAUGGAAGAACACCAGUGGCGAAGGCGGCUACCUCGGUCUGCAACUGACGCUGAGACUCGAAAGCAUGGGUAGCGAACAGGAUUAGAUACCCUGGUAG
rnacentral:rRNA from 1 species